rnacentral:lncRNA from 1 species
GAACAAUGGGCAGGCGGCUGCGGAGGCCGCCCCUCAGACAGCUGGCUUUCAGCCGGGCUUGCCGGGUCUGCUAACAGGAAAGUGAGACGUGCAGAGGCGAGCGGGAGACCCGGGGCAGAGGCGGAGAAGAGCGGCCGGGGACAGCGAGGUGAACCCGCUGGCUGCAGCGUCCCUGACCCGCGCCGUUCCGGCCCAAGCCUCGGCCACUGACAGCUACACGGCCGGCCGCAGCUGGCGAGUUGGAGCAAAGCGGGAUCACCGAGCCUGGGGAUGGACCGGGAAGAGGGGUGGGAUCCAGCCUACACAACAGCCCGAAGGGAGCGGACGGAAUAAAGAGCUCGGUCUCCCCAGCC